UACGUAGGGUGCGAGCGUUUGUCCGGAAUUAUUGGGCGUAAAGAGCUUGUAGGCGGUUUGUCGCGUCUGCUGUGAAAGACCGGGGCUCAACUCCGGUUCUGCAGUGGGUACGGGCAGACUAGAGUGCAGUAGGGGAGACUGGAAUUCCUGGUGUAGCGGUGAAAUGCGCAGAUAUCAGGAGGAACACCGAUGGCGAAGGCAGGUCUCUGGGCUGUAACUGACGCUGAGGAGCGAAAGCAUGGGGAGCGAACAGG
rnacentral:rRNA from 1 species